GGAACUGUGCCCGAGCAUCUAGGAAUCACUUUGAUAGAGUGACUUACGGGGGUUAAAAUCCCCUCAGUUCCU
rnacentral:tRNA from 2 species